rnacentral:rRNA from 1 species
AUUGAACGCUGGCGGCAGGCCUAACACAUGCAAGUCGAACGAGUGGCGGACGGGUGAGUAAUGUCUGGGAAACUGCCCGAUGGAGGGGGAUAACUACUGGAAACGGUAGCUAAUACCGCAUUCUACCAGCUGUUCCCAGAUGGGAUUAGCUGGUUGGUGGGGUAACGGCUCACCAAGGCGACGAUCCCUAGCUGGUCUGAGAGGAUGACCAGCCACACUGGAACUGAGACACGGUCCAGACUCCUAGGGGAGGCGGCAGAGGGGAAUAUUGGACAAUGGGCGCAAGCCUGAUGCAGCCAUGCAGCGUGUGUGAAGAAGGCCUUCGGGUUUUAAAGUACUUUCGGCGGGGAGGCGUUACCCGCAGAAGAAGCCCCGGCUAACUCAGUGCCAGCAGCCGCGGUAAUAC